UGGAUGCGAGGGACUGAGGAAGGCCGUGGGCACCAGCUGGGGCCACACUUCAGCGGCUUCUCAAAGGGCCGCGUGUCUGGAAUCAGACCCCGACAGCCCGACUGGGUGUCCAUGAGGAGUGACUCUCUCUGUCUCUCUGGCUUCCAGCCUGCUUCUUCAGGCUGCCCUGGCCUCUGAGUGAGGCAGGGGAUGUUACUAACUCUCUCCUAACUUCAUCAGUUUCACGGAACAUGAUGCCCACCACAGCAAGAACCUUGCAGAUUAGUUGUGGCCUCUGCAUCCUCCCUUUGGAACUGCUAGGGACACGGGGAGCAGCCUGGAAGAAUGCCUCAGCCUCUGCUGAAGGGGACAGAGCGUGGUCACGAACAAGAUUAAUGAUACCAAAAAGAAAAAGACAAAGACAAAGAAAAAAAAAAAGGAAAAAGCCAGAAGAAACUCUUCUGAGUUUAUUUUCACAGAUUACACACAGUGGGACAUUAUGUAUGAAACAGACCAUGACAUCAAGGUCUUCUAUGGGACAGCUGAUAGCACAUGGACUUUUAACCAACCACCCUUGCCAGUGACCAAAUGACUAAUCUUAAGAAAGCCUCCUCACCGCGAAGUGCAGCACCCGAUGAUGGACCAGCAAAGGCAAUUCUACUCUGACAAACACGAAAUAAACUUGGAUGUAACAUGAUGGCAGAGCUGCUUACACCUUAGGGUCACCCACUAAAUCUUCACUGAACCGUUCUCUUGCUCCCUGGAAGGGUGGCCAAGCCUAUGGUACACCAGGACACCGAGGUCUACGGGAAGAUACUCAAGCCUUUCUCAUGGGCAGCCUUUCUUCAGUUAGUAAAAGAAAGAGGAACUUCACCAACUGUCACAUGAGUUUAAAAUUUUGAAGAGACCUGCCUCUUUUGUGGCACAGGUAACUAAUAUACUAACCACAUUAAAAAAAAGUACUCCCCCCUGUAUGGCCCCAGAAGAUGACUGGUUAGCCAGAGACGGGUAAGA